ACGUUGAAACACCAGUUCCCAUAGGAUCACCAAUGUUAAGCAACAUCAAGCCUGGUCAGUACUUACAUGGGUGAGCACUCAGGAAUGUCAGAUGCUGCAAG